GCCUACGGGGGGCAGCAGUAGGGAAUAUUGCUCAAUGGGGGAAACCCUGAAGCAGCAACGCCGCGUGGAGGAUGAAGGUUUUCGGAUUGUAAACUCCUUUUGUUAGAGAAGAUAAUGACGGUAUCUAACGAAUAAGCACCGGCUAACUCCGUGCCAGCAGCCGCGGUAAUACGGAGGGUGCAAGCGUUACUCGGAAUCACUGGGCGUAAAGAGCGCGUAGGCGGGAUAGCAAGUCAGAUGUGAAAUCCUAUGGAUUAACCAUAGAACUGCAUUUGAAACUGUUAUUCUAGAGUAUGGGAGAGGUA
rnacentral:rRNA from 1 species